CAAAGUAUGUUACAAGUCUAUUUUUUUUAAAACGAUAGAAGUAAGACACAUAGAAUUAUCGUUUUAAAACGCUGCAUUUGCGCAAUGUUCCCACGUAUGCAUGUUACAUGCAAAUUCACGUUUACGUCCAAAAUUAUGCUAUUAUGCAACCAUGUAGUUUUUAUAGAAAGAUCAUGCAUGCAAUAUAGGUAGAAUGAGCAUUAUUCUUUUAUGACCUUAUGUGUAAUUAAGCAUAUUUGUAUGUUGUGUGUAACUCCUACCAUGUGUGCAUGGCCCAUGCACACAUGAGUUAUAUGAGAGGGAAAAAUAGUAAUUAUGUUAAGCUAAGGAAUGUCGUUUUGAUUAUGGUAUAGGCUCGUUGAGAAGUUGUUGUUUUACUUAGCUUGGACCUGAGGUAAGGAAGUUAGAUGGAAUUUAUGAUUGUUAUAUUAUGAAUGGUAAGACUGUUGUGUGAAUGAAAUGUUAUGAAUUAUGAAUGCCAUAAUGUGAUGAUAUGUUGGCUUGUAUGAACGUUGUAUGAUAUGAAUGGAUGUUAGCGUGAUGAACGCGACACAUCGAAAUGGGUUGCUAAGGAUAAGAAGACGUAACCCGAGUUACUAAGGAUAUGAAGACGUAACUCCAUGGGCGAACGCGCCGAGGUUAUUCAAGGACCAGAGACUCUUGUUUACCUCAAAGGGUGGCAUGGACAAGUUAGCGGGCCAUGUUCACAAGGAAUUGCUUAUGAUUUUGUUAUGAUGUUUAUGAUAUGAUGGUCGCAUUAUCUUCACGUGAAUAUGUUUAUGUUUCUGAUAUUGAUGCCAAUUUUAUGAUGAUGCUAUGAUGUAUAAAGAUGAAUGAUAGUGUUUGUAAUUUGUUGUAUCUUACUUGCUUGUUGUUUGUACUUCCUUACUGGGCUUUUAGCUUACUCCCCUUACUUUCCCUUCUAGGUAGCAAAUAGGUUUCUCUAUGGCACGCAUGGUGAUGUGGGGAGUUCUAUUGUCGUUGUGUGUAUGGCGUGGGGGAAUUCUAUGGACGGAAAACGAUCAAUUAAAAACGCCAUUUUUAAUAAUGUUAUGUUUUAUGAGACUUUUUAAACUUAUCAGUGGGACUUGAAUUAUUGGUUGUUUUUGAACUUUGCAUAAAAACUGAUAUUUUCUUUUAAAACUAUUGGGCACAACUUGCAUGUUUUAAGCAAGACCCCACUGAAACCUUUAUAAUAAGUGGCUUUCUUUUAUAAACCAUUGAAAAUGUGAAUGUUUUACAAAGUACUAGAGUAGGGCGUUUUACAGUAUGUGCUUAUGUUUUGGUGUUUUUAAAUCCUUAGUCAUGAAUCUUCUUCUUCUUGAAAAUAUAAGAAAUAAUUUGUGGUUUUUCUUUCUUGUUCUUGUGAUGUUCGAAAUCCCUAGGGAAGUGAUCAAGGGUGGCGGCCGAAUUGAGUUUUUGAACUCUAUCAAAGGAGGUAAUAAAUAGGAUUUCUCUUUGGCAUGCAUGGUGAUGUGGGGAGUUCUAACGGCACGUGUAACAACCCAAAAUAUCUAACAAGGCUUAAGGGCAUUGAUUAACGUGCCGGGAGGGCAUAAUUGGUAAAGGCAAGGGUAAGCUAGACCAACCAUGAGUUGGAGAGCUCUGGGGGAAAGGUGUACAUUGUCAGCUGCUCGUCCACAAUGGCUGAGGGAAAGUACAGGGAUAGAAGCAUAAAACUUGUAUUUUUCCAUUAGAGUGGCCACUGAUUGUAUAUAACUUUUGGGGAGUUUAUAAAUUGUCUUUUAAACCCUUUUUUUGGGUUCCCAUGUACCAAACAUCUAUAUUAAUGAAAAAUAAUCAUUUAUGAUCAAUCUUUUAACCCUAAUCUGAUUAUGACUUUAAGAACACAUUUUUAUUCAUAUGACUUGAUUAGAAAGUCUUGC